UAACACGUAUCCAACCUGCCUCAUACUCGGGGAUAGCCUUUCGAAAGAAAGAUUAAUAUCCGAUAGCAUAUAUUUCCCGCAUGGGUUUUAUAUUAAAGAAAUUCGGUAUGAGAUGGGGAUGCGUUCCAUUAGUUUGUUGGGGGGGUAACGGCCCGCCAAGACUACGAUGGAUAGGGGUUCUGAGAGGAAGGUCCCCCACAUUGGAACUGAGACACGGUCCAAACUCCUACGGGAGGCAGCAGUGAGGAAUAUUGGUCAAUGGACGCGAGUCUGAACCAGCCAAGUAGCGUGAAGGACGACUGCCCUAUGGGUUGUAAACUUCUUCUAUAUGGGAAUAAAGUUGUCCACGUGUGGAUUUUUGUAUGUACCAUAUGAAUAAGGAUCGGCUAACUCCGUGCCAGCAGCCGCGGUAAUACGGAGGAUCCGAGCGUUAUCCGGAUUUAUUGGGUUUAAAGGGAGCGUAGGCGGAUUGUUAAGUCAGUUGUGAAAGUUUGCGGCUCAACCGUAAAAUUGCAGUUGAUACUGGCAGUCUUGAGUGCAGUAGAGGUGGGCGGAAUUCGUGGUGUAGCGGUGAAAUGCUUAGAUAUCACGAAGAACUCCGAUUGCGAAGGCAGCUCACUGGAGUGUAACUGACGCUGAUGCUCGAAAGUGUGGGUAUCAAACAGGAUUAGAUACCCUGGUAGUCCACACAGUAAACGAUGAAUACUCGCUGU
rnacentral:rRNA from 1 species